UGACCAAAGGAAUGAAGAGGAGAAACUAGC
rnacentral:piRNA from 1 species